rnacentral:lncRNA from 1 species
UGUCCAACAAAGCUGUUAUUUUAUCAGGAAGAACUGAAAGCUCAUUUCAGAAACUGAAGCUUCUCAGGAAUGAACCAAAUGAUUUGGUAGACAUGCCUUGAAAUUUAUCAGAAAAUUACGAGUAUUGUUUUGUUAGGAGAUAGGAAUUAACUAAUGUUUCUAAAAUGCCUGACUUUAGAUCAAGAAUUUCAGCAACUUGAUGCACUCAAGAUGGAGAACCCAUAUUUUUUUUUUUUUAAACUGCCACCCUCACAACUUUGUUCUAACUGUGUCUGGAGAUCUGUGAUUCAAGUGGUUGGUUCAGCAGCUCAAUCAUGUAAGUGCUCAGAUCAUUGUUUCUGGAUUCUGUUUGCCUGUCCCUCACAAAGCAAGUUGGCUGCAGCAGUUUUAGUGCCAU